UCCAACUGCAGCUCAAGGAGUAUAUUGAUGACACUGAAGAUCUGAUCAACAUUAAACUUGGUAAUGUCCAGAAUAAGCUGAUUAAGUUCGAGCUGCUCUUGACGGCGGCUACUUUUUUUGGCAACCGUAUUCGCAGUAGUGACAGUUGUAUUCGGAAUGAACUUUGAAGAUGAAGUUUUCGAUGAACCGAACAGAUUCCAUUGGGUCGUUUCUACGAGUGCCGUGUUAUGUGGAGUUUUGUUUAUCUGUUUCUUGCUUUAUUUUAAACAUAAGAAAGUUUUUCCUCUCUAGAUUUCAUCAUAAAAAGUUGCAGCUGAUGUAUGUAUUUCUUUCUUAUUGCUUCUUCUAUACAGUUAAAUUAUCUUUUACUA